GGGAGCUCUGGGAGAGGGAACUGGGCGUACUGGGAGCUCUGGGAGAGGGAACUGGGCAUACUGGGAGCUCUGGGAGAGGGAACUGGGGUUACUGGGUGUGCUGAGAUGGGUAACUGGGCAUACUGGGAGCCCUUAGACAGGGAACUGGGCGUACUGGGAACUCCGGGAGAGGGUACUGGGCAUAAUGGGUGUGCUGAGAUGGGUAACUGGGCAUACUGGGAGCACUCAGACAGGGAACUGGGCAUACUGGGAGCUCUGGGAGAGGGAACUGGGCAUACUGGGUGUGCUGAGAUGGGGAAAUGGGCAUACUGGGAGCCUUCAGACAGGGAACUGGGCAUACUGGGAGCUCUGGGAGAGGGAACUGGGGUUACUGGGUGUGCUGAGAUGGGGAAAUGGGCAUACUGGGAGCACUCAGACAGGGAACUGGGCAUACUGGGAGCCUUCAGACAGGGAACUGGCCAUACUGGGAGCCCCCAGACAGGGAACUGGGCAUACUGGGAAUGCAAACUGGUCGCACUGGGAGCGGGAACCGGUCCCACCAACCCCUCCUUGAACCCCCCCCUACCC
rnacentral:lncRNA from 1 species